UACGGGGGGGGCAAGCGUUGUUCGGAAUUACUGGGCGUAAAGGGCUCGUAGGCGGCCAACUAAGUCAGACGUGAAAUCCCUCGGCUUAACCGGGGAACUGCAUCUGAUACUGGAUGGCUUGAAUCCGGGAGAGGGAUGCGGAAUUCCAGGUGUAGCGGUGAAAUGCGUAGAUAUCUGGAGGAACACCGGUGGCGAAGGCGACAUCCUGGACCGGUAUUGACGCUGAGUGAGCGAAAGCCAGGGGAGCGAACGGG
rnacentral:rRNA from 1 species